rnacentral:rRNA from 1 species
AGCGAACGCUAGCGGGAUGCCUCAAACAUGCAAGUCGCACGCGAAAGUCUUCGGACAAGUAGAGUGGCGCACGGGUGAGUAACACGUAGCUAAUGUACCUCUUCGCUGGGGAUAACUCCGGGAAACCGGAGCUAAUACCGAAUAAUCUGUCGGGGUCUGAGGACUCUGCCGGUAAAGCCUCACGGCGCGAAGAGAUCAGGCUGCGGCCUAUUAGCUUGUUGGUAGGGUAACGGCCUACCAAGGCUACGAUAGGUAGCUGGUCUGAGAGGAUGAUCAGCCACACUGGAACUGAAACACGGUCCAGACUCCCACGGGAGGCAGCAGUUGGGAAUAUUGGACAAUGGGGGUAACCCUGAUCCAGCAAUCCCGCGUGAGUGACGAAGG